UCCGUGUUAACCACGGCAGUCUCCCUAGAGAGCCCAACUGAAUGCUGGCAACUAAGGGCAGGGGUUGCGCUCGUUGCGGCACUUAAGCCAACACCUCACGGCACGAGCUGACGACAGCCAUGCAGCACCUGUGCUGGCCCCUUACGGACACGGGCUUUCACCCGCUUUAACCAGCAUGUCAAGCCUAGGUAAGGUUCUUCGCGUCGCAUCGAAUUAAGCCACAUGCUCCGCCGCUUGUGCGGGUCCCCGUCAAUUCCUUUGAGUUUUAGCCUUGCGGCCGUACUCCCCAGGCGGGGUGCUUAAUGCGUUAGCUGCGGCACGGAAAGGGUUGAAGACCUCCCCACACCUAGUGCCCAACGUUUACGGCGUGGACUAC
rnacentral:misc_RNA from 1 species